rnacentral:rRNA from 1 species
CCUACGGGCGGCAGCAGUGAGGAAUAUUGGUCAAUGGACGAGAGUCUGAACCAGCCAAGUAGCGUGAAGGAUGACUGCCCUAUGGGUUGUAAACUUCUUUUAUAUGGGAAUAAAACAGGGUAUGCAUACCCUCUUGUAUGUACCAUAUGAAUAAGGAUCGGCUAACUCCGUGCCAGCAGCCGCGGUAAUACGGAGGGUCCGGGCGUUAUCCGGAUGUAUUGGGUUUAAAGGGAGCGUAGAUGGGUUGUUAAGUCAGUUGUGAAAGUGUGCGGCUCAACCGUAAAAUUGCAAUUGAUACUGGCAGGCUUGAGUACAGGUGAGGUAGGCGGAAUGCGUGGUGUAGCGGUGAAAUGCUUAGAUAUCACGAAGAACUCCGAUUGCGAAGGCAGCUUACUAGACUGCCACUGACAUUGAUGCUCGAAAGUGUGGGUAUCAAACAGGAUUAGAUACCCGUGUAGUC